CGGGGAGUUUAGCCGCGCCCCUCCGUCUCUGGUUGGUGCGAGGUCUUCCGAAGGCGUCCUCUCCCCCUUCGCCUCCUUUCCUGCUCUCCCCCCACCGUGGAAGGAGUGAAUUGGGGGCCGAGGUGAAGUCUCGGGGUCCCGCCCACCUGUUUUUCUUUCGCAUCCGAAGGCCGAGCCGUGUAAGGCAAUGGCGGGGGUUUGCCGCAGGUUGACACCGGCGGGGAGAGGAAGGGUCGACUGACGCGCCCCCUUCUUCCCCAACCGGCCUGCCUUCCUUCCUUCCUCGCGAUCGCGUGCGCGCCUCCAACGUCUGUAUGCAAACAAACGAGGGCAAGAUUUGGCCAGCUCCUCAUCUCCUCCGCCGAUUGGUGGAAGACGGGGCGGCAAGAGAGGCGUUCUCGAGCGGAGGCCCGGCGAGGAGGCGCGCCUGGUGGAGAAAAGGGGAAACUGCUUUGUCGAAAGAAAAACUGAAGAAAGACAACUCCCAGGUUAAUGCCACCAGUACAGAUGGAGCCAUGCACUGGAGCAGAGACAACCUUUUUGUUCCACUUUCCUAUGCUAAAAAAAAACACUAAAGCAAAAAAGGACAUGGCAUGGAGAGUCUUCCCCAGAGGAGAUCAUUGUUGAUGUCAGCUUGGCAUUUUGACUGAACUCCUUCUACACUACAGUCAGUGUGGGGUCAUCCUUGGGGAAAUUGCAACAUGUUGGACUUUCUGAUCAGCACCAGGGAACUGGCUCUUGAAAUUACAAAGAAUCUCCUCUCCACCACUCUGGUGGGUGUUCAGUCUUCAGGUGAGAGAUGCCCUUCAUUCACUACUGAAUUUUAUUUCUUUAUUUUUAUUUUAUUACUCAUAUUUAGCCACCGCCCAUCUCCCCCAGAAGAGGGACUCUGGGCAGUUUACAAUAAAAUCCCACAUAAAACACAGACAUUAAAACCACAUAAACAAUUAUAAUAAAACACAAUAAAUAAAUAAAAUCCAAGAGAAAUGUAAAAUCCAGGCUGGUGGGAGGGACUCUAGGGUGCGAGCCAUCCCCAAGAAUGGCUAUUCACUUUCCCGCCCCAGGCGAGACGGCAAAACCAGGUCUUCAGGGCCUUCCAGAAGGUCAGGAGAGAAGGGGCCUGCCUCACCUCCGUGGGCAAGAUAUUCCAGAGAGCAGGGGCCACCACAGAGAAGGCCCGCUUCCUGGACCCCGCCAGAUGAAAUUCUCUUAUGGACAGGGUCCAUAACAUCAAAUUUUGCUUUUGAUGUCUUUGUGAAGCAAAACAAAUUUGACCUGAGCUCUGUGGACCUCAAGAAAGCUGCAAAAGAAAAGAGGAUCUGUGCAAUGCAAUUCUAAAUUUUAAAUGCCAUGCAAUUUAAAGGCAGGCUCAAUGAUAAUGAAGUGGAGCACGCUGGAUAAAAACACACCAUAUAGUGAGCCUGGAUCGUUAGGCUGUAAUGGCUGUUACUACUUGGGGAAUAGAUCCUGCCACUAUUAUGGAAACUCAUCAGAAAACAAGCAUCGCUAUGCCAUGUAAACAAAAUGAGGCUUUGCUCAGAGCAUUGUUGUUUGUUGAUUCCCAAACUGAGGAUUAUUGACAUGUAAUGUCAUGAAUGUGUUCGGUAUCUGAGGGACACCUUUGAUCCAGAUUGAAUUAUAUAUAGAGUGGACCACAGUGGGCAUUCAGUUUGUCAGAUCCAAUCAAUCUCAUUGGGUUAACACUGGAUGCAACCAAAUCUCAGUUAAGCCAUAAAUGUCCUUCACUCGGGUGGGACAUUGUUGGGGAGAACUUCUCUGCUGCUUCUUAGCAGGGAUACCUGUGCUAUGGAAAAGCCUUCUGCUGGAAAUCAAAUUGGCCUCUUCAUUCAAGGGCAUCCAUUGGGAAGGUCAAAAAGUCAAGAAGGCAUCUACAACACAUAUAAAAAAAGAUGUGGCUUCUGUCAUGUAGACAUGGCCAUCAUUUGACUUUUUCACCUACCCCGUGGAUCCCCCUACCUAUUGUUGGCUUUUCAUAAGCAUUUAAACAUGGAAUUGUUUUAGAGAACCUAUGGAAGAUGAUAUGAUGUCCUGGAUUAUGUUGUUAUGUUGUGUUGUGUUAUGUUUUUUUUAAUCAUAUAUAUUAUGGAUGUUUUAGUGAACUUUUGUGAGUAUUUUAUUAUAAUGUUGCUGUAUGGCUGUUGAUAACAGCUCACACUCUCUGGAUAGUGGCAGGUAUAAUUCUAAAAAAUAAUUAAAUUUACACCAGCCCCAGAAGCAGGGGAAGCAGAUGACACAGCCUGGUCUCAGCACUGAACACAAACAAAGGCAAAACAUGCUAGAAGUGAGGAUGGGGUUGGAAAAUGGGGUGGAGGUAACCACAUGGGCCAGAAAAUAAUCUAUAAAUAUAAAUCCCUGGGAGGUGGGAAAUUAUGACCUCAUACUGUUGUCAUGCAACCAGGUUCCCUGAGGGUGCUCUUUGUAAAAGAGCAUUGAAACUGGUCUAUAGAGAGAGUUGAAUAUAUUGCACACCAUGAACACAAAGGAAAUAAAGGGUGAAGUACAGUGUUAAGUUAGACGCUUUGAAGGGAUCCCUCCUCAAACUCGCCCAAUUAAAAUUGCAACUGCUGUUUUAGAAAAGCUGCAAGGGUUGAGUUCCACUUGUUGGAAUAUUCUGUUGUUCCCCUUUUAUUGUUGUGAAGGUAAACCACUCUAAUGCUUUCCCCCUUUUUACCUCUGCAAAUAAAAGCAUGCAUGCAGAAGG